AGCAUGUUGACUUAUAUUACAACUGUAUAUGUGAUAAUAUUCUACACUUUUAUAUAUUGAAUAUAAAAUGUACUCUAGUUGAUAACCGAAUUCGAACAAACAGUUUAGCAAUUCUUAUAAAUAAAGGUAUAAUAGUAGUAUACGGCUGUUUAAUAGUCUUCAAUCUUUUUGCCUAAAAACAAAUCCGAGUCACAAACCAAAACGUCAACUAUAAGAGGAAAAACAACAAAACAACAAAAACACUGAACAGCUGCUACAAUACAAACGCUAAUAUAGAUAUAUAUAUAUAGAAACGGACUAUGUGAUAACAACUGCCAUAUUUCUAACCUGGCACAGGACAGUUUACGAAAAAUUGGUGGGUUAAAUCUGGUUUUGAAUCCAGCUAAACUUUUCACUUGUAUGACAUUCAUUGUUCACAUAACUUUUUACUAUAUUGACAACGAUGUGUGAACAAAACAACAAGACAUAAUAGUUAAAAAUUGCACAAACACAAUUAAUAUAGAUAUAAGAAGAUAUAUAUGUAUGGUUCUCAAAUAGCUCGGACUUUCAGUUACCUUAUGAAGGUUUUAGUUCAGAAACAUGUUGUGUAAAAUAAAUCCGGUAUCAUAUGUUUUUUUAGAGAUAACACAAGAGAUGCUUACCGGGUCGAAUUACGUGAUCUGGUUUUGUUAUAAGUUUAUGUUUUCAUUUCCAUAUAUUGGGGCAUUAGUACGUUUUCUUGUGAUAUGUGGGGUUUUUUUUUGUCGAUGAACUGCCUUGUACUUUGUAUUACUUUAUCGUUACAAAAAUCUAAACAGAUAACACUGUAUUGUUUGCUGGAAUAUAAAACAUAAAAUAUAAAUAGAGAAUUUCAUAUGGCUUUUUCAAUUAUCACAUCCGUAUCAACCCGAGACACCAAUAUACUCCCAAGAUCUCUGCUCGAGGGAUGAUAUUGGUAGAGGGUUGAUACAUUGUGUGAUACUGAAACAGCCAUAUCAUAUUCACUUAUUAUAUAAAAGAGGGACAAAAGAUACCAGAGGGACAGUCUAUCUCAUAAAUCGAAAAUAAGCUGAUAACGCCAUGGCUAAAAAGACAAACAAUAGUACACAUGACACAACAUAGAAAACUAAAGAAUAGGCAACACGAACCCCACAAAAAACUAGGGGUGAUCGUAGGUGCUUUGGAAGGGUUAGCAGAUCCUGCUCCACAUGUGACACAUUAUAACUUACGCAGAUGUUCUUUUAUGUGAUAUAACGUCAUACAGAUUUGGGAAUUGAGAAAGUCUUUGCAACAGUGAAUGACAUCGAUGCCGUGACGUCAUUCUGAUUAAAGGUGUGAUAAGCUCCUUUCCAACCGAAGCUGAUACUGAUAUCACUACGGAUAGCCGAUACAGCACGAUUGCUCACAGUCA
rnacentral:lncRNA from 1 species